rnacentral:rRNA from 1 species
GACGAACGCUGGCGGCGUGCUUAACACAUGCAAGUCGAACGGAAAGGCCCUGCUUUUGUGGGGUGCUCGAGUGGCGAACGGGUGAGCAACACGUGAGUAACCUGCCCUUGACUUUGGGAUAACUUCAGGAAACUGGGGCUAAUACCGGAUAGGAGCUCCUGCUGCAUGGUGGGGGUUGGAAAGUUUCGGCGGUUGGGGAUGGACUCGCGGCUUAUCAGCUUGUUGGUGGGGUAGUGGCUUACCAAGGCUUUGACGGGUAGCCGGCCUGAGGGGGUGACCGGCCACAUUGGGACUGAGAUACGGCCCAGACUCCUACGGGAGGCAGCAGUGGGGAAUAUUGCACAAUGGGCGGAAGCCUGAUGCAGCAACGCCGCGUGCGGGAUGACGGCCUUCGGGUUGUAAACCGCUUUCGCCUGUGACGAAGCGUGAGUGACGGUAAUGGGUAAAGAAGCACCGGCUAACUACGUGCCAGCAGCCGCGGUGAUACGUAGGGUGCGAGCGUUGUCCGGAUUUAUUGGGCGUAAAGGGCUCGUAGGUGGUUGAUCGCGUCGGAAGUGUAAUCUUGGGGCUUAACCCUGAGCGUGCUUUCGAUACGGGUUGACUUGAGGAAGGUAGGGGAGAAUGGAAUUCCUGGUGGAGCGGUGGAAUGCGCAGAUAUCAGGAGGAACACCAGUGGCGAAGGCGGUUCUCUGGGCCUUUCCUGACGCUGAGGAGCGAAAGCGUGGGGAGCGAACAGGCUUAGAUACCCUGGUAGUCCACGCUGUAAACGGUGGGUACUAGGUGUGGGGUCCAUUCCACGGGUUCCGUGCCGUAGCUAACGCUUUAAGUACCCCGCCUGGGGAGUACGGCCGCAAGGCUAAAACUCAAAGGAAUUGACGGGGCCCCGCACAAGCGGCGGAGCAUGCGGAUUAAUUCGAUGCAACGCGUAGAACCUUACCUGGGUUUGACAUGGAUCGGGAGUGCUCAGAGAUGGGUGUGCCUCUUUUGGGGUCGGUUCACAGGUGGUGCAUGGCUGUCGUCAGCUCGUGUCGUGAGAUGUUGGGUUAAGUCCCGCAACGAGCGCAACCCUUGUUCACUGUUGCCAGCACGUUAUGGUGGGGACUCAGUGGAGACCGCCGGGGUCAACUCGGAGGAAGGUGGGGAUGACGUCAAGUCAUCAUGCCCCUUAUGUCCAGGGCUUCACGCAUGCUACAAUGGCUGGUACAGAGAGUGGCGAGCCUGUGAGGGUGAGCGAAUCUCGGAAAGCCGGUCUCAGUUCGGAUUGGGGUCUGCAACUCGACCUCAUGAAGUCGGAGUCGCUAGUAAUCGCAGAUCAGCAACGCUGCGGUGAAUACGUUCCCGGGGCU